ensembl:misc_RNA Y_RNA Y RNA
GGCUGCUCCACAGAGUGAGUUAGUUACCUCAGUCAGUUACAGCUGAACUCCUUGUUCCACUCUUUAUCCCUUCUCACUACUGCACUUGACUAGUCUUUA